rnacentral:rRNA from 1 species
AAAAUUAGAGUUUGAUCAUCGCUCAGAUUGAACGCUGGCGGUAGUGCCUAACACAUGCAAGUCGAACGGCAGCACAGGAGAGCUUGCUCUCUGGGUGGCGAGUGGCGGACGGGUGAGGAAUACAUCGGAAUCUACUCUGUCGUGGGGGAUAACGUAGGGAAACUUACGCUAAUACCGCUAUACGACCUACGGGUGAAAGCAGUGGUGAUCUUCGGACCUUGCGCGAUUGAAUGCAGCCGAUGUCAGGAUUAGCAUAGAUUGGCGGGGUAAAGGCCCACCAAGGCGACGAUCCGUAGCUGGUCUGAGAGGAUGAUCAGCACAACUGGAACUGAGACACGGUCCAGACUCCUACGUGGAGUGCAGCAGUGGGGAAUAUUGGACAAUGGUGCGCAAGCCUGAUCCAGUCCAUACCAGCGAUGGGUGAA